AAACSACUCUCGGCAACGGAUAUCUCGGCUCUCGCAUCGAUGAAGAACGUAGCGAAAUGCGAUACUUGGUGUGAAUUGCAGAAUCCCGUGAAUCAUCGAGUCUUUGAACGCAAGUUGCGCCCGAAGCCUUCUGGCCGAGGGCACGUCUGCCUGGGUGUCACGC
rnacentral:rRNA from 1 species